AGAGUUUGAUCCUGGCUCAGGACGAACGCUGGCGGCGUGCCUAACACAUGCAAGUCACGGGGGCCCGCAAGGGUAACCGGCGAACGGGUGCGUAACACGUGAGCAAUCUGCCGAUUUCUGGGGGAUAGCCGGUCCAACGACCGGGUAAUACCGCAUACGCUCAUUGGGGGGCAUUCCCCGAUGAGGAAACCUCCGGGGGAAAUCGAGGAGCUCGCGGCCUAUCAGCUAGUUGGUGCGGUAACGGCGCACCAAGGCGACGACGGGUAGCUGGUCUGAGAGGAUGGCCAGCCACAUUGGGACUGCGACACGGCCCAGACUCCUACGGGAGGCAGCAGUGGGGAAUAUUGCGCAAUGGACGAAAGUCUGACGCAGCGACGCCGCGUGUGGGAUGAAGCUUUUCGGAAGGGUAAACCACUGUUGCCCGGGACG
rnacentral:rRNA from 1 species